GCAUUUCUUGCUACCAUGCUGAAACUAUUUGCAACGUGGACCUUGGCUACGGUAUAGUGUGCGGCGGCGAUGCGAUACGCGGAGCUUGCUACGCCAACGGGAUACCUGGUUCUUUUGUGUGCAGGUGCUACUACGGAUGGAUUGAUGGGGCCGAUGGACAGUGUUCCGUACCAGAUCCUGAAGCAACGACGACGACGACGAUGACGACGAUGGAACCACUCGAGACAACGGCAGCCGUGACCACAGGAGCCGUGACCACAGGAGCCGUGACCACAGGAGCUGUGACCACAGGAGCCGUGACCACAGGAGCCGUGACCACAGGAGCCGUGACCACAGGAGCCGUGACCACAGGAGCCGUGACCACAGGAGCCGUGACCACAGCAGCCAUGACUACAUUCGAUCAGGCCGAUACAGGCCUGACACAACCUACUACAACCAUGCCACCGUUAACCUGUCUUAUGGAAAGAUCUUCGAUGAGUUAUAUCCGCAUACAAGAUCCCAGUGUUAUCACCUACGCAGUGGAAGUGGUAAAGACAUUGGUAUUGCCCAAUCUCCCAAAUAAAAUCCAUAAAUGUGCAUCUCAUUGUUCUGCAGAUCCCGAUUGCGUCAUAAUUGGUUUCGACAACUCGAUUAGCACAUGCUAUAUCUGUCACGUGGCUGUGAACGCUACAAACACUUUUUUUGCGGACCAGGAGUAUUUGUGUGCGAUAAAUUAACGGCUGUUAGCCAUGGGAUAUUCAAAG